UGGGGAAUAUUGGACAAUGGGCGAAAGCCUGAUCCAGCAAUACCGAGUGAGUGAUGAAGGCCCUAGGGUUGUAAAGCUCUUUUAGCAAGGAAGAUAAUGACGUUACCUGCAGAAAAAGCCCCGGCUAACUCCGUGCCAGCAGCCGCGGUAAGACGGAGGGGGCUAGCGUUGUUCGGAAUUACUGGGCGUAAAGAGUGCGUAGGCGGCUUAGUAAGUUGGAAGUGAAAGCCCGGGGCUUAACCUCGGAAUUGCUUUCAAAACUACUAAUCUAGAGUGUAGUAGGGGAUGAUGGAAUUCCUAGUGUAGAGGUGAAAUUCUUAGAUAUUAGGAGGAACACCGGUGGCGAAGGCGGUCAUCUGGGCUACAACUGACGCUGAUGCACGAAAGCGUGGGGAGCAAACA
rnacentral:rRNA from 1 species